UAGGGAAUCUUCCACAAUGGGCGAAAGCCCGAUGGGAGCAACGCCGCGUGUGUGAUGAAGGGUUUCGGCUCGUAAAACACUGUUGUAAGAGAAGAAUGACAUUGAGAGUAACUGUUCAAUGUGUGACGGUAUCUUACCAGAAAGGAACGGCUAAAUACGUGCUAG
rnacentral:rRNA from 1 species